CAUGGUUUCCAUGUCUAACGUUUCACCUUCCGUCUUAUUUAAAAAAAUUAUAAAUAAAAUAAAAAGACAAGUCACACAUAAAAUAUUACUAAUCAUAUUUUAUCAUCUAACAAUAAUGAAAAUACGAAUUAUAAAAAAUUUUCAUAUAAGAUGGACAGUCAAAGUUGGACACGGAAACUCAGGUUUUGCUUUUU
rfam:Oryza glumipatula chromosome 6, whole genome shotgun sequence.